rnacentral:rRNA from 1 species
UACGUAGGGUGCAAGCGUUGUCCGGAAUUAUUGGGCGUAAAGAGCUCGUAGGCGGCUUGUCGCGUCGGCUGUGAAAGUCGGGGGCUCAACCCUCGGAUGCCGGUGGAUACUGUCGGGCUUGAGUACGGAAGAGGCGAGUGGAAUUCCUGGUGUAGCGGUGAAAUGCGCAGAUAUCAGGAGGAACACCGGUGGCGAAGGCGGGUCUCUGGGCAGUAACUGACGCUGAGGAGCGAAAGCGUGGGGAGCGAACAGG